GUUGACCUCGGAUCAGGUAGGAAUACCCGCUGAACUUAAGCAUAUCAAUAAGCGGAGGAAAAGAAACCAACAGGGAUUGCCUUAGUAACGGCGAGUGAAGCGGCAACAGCUCAAAUUUGAAAUCUGGCCCUAGGCCCGAGUUGUAAUUUGCAGAGGAUGCUUUUGGCAAGGUGCCUUCCAAGUUCCCUGGGACGGGACGCCGGAGAGGGUGAGAGCCCCGUCAGGUCGGACACCAAGCCUAUGUAAAGCUCCUUCGACGAGUCGAGUAGUUUGGGAAUGCUGCUCAAAAUGGGAGGUAUAUGUCUUCUAAAGCUAAAUACCGGCCAGAGACCGAUAGCGCACAAGUAGAGUGAUCGAAAGAUGAAAAGCACUUUGGAAAGAGAGUUAAACAGCACGUGAAAUUGUUGAAAGGGAAGCGUUUACGACCAGACUUGUGCCGGUUGAUCAUCCAGCGUUCUCGCUGGUGCACUCUGCCGGCCCAGGCCAGCAUCAGUUCGCCGCGGGGGAUAAAGGCGUCGGGAAUGUAGCUCCUCCGGGAGUGUUAUAGCCCUUCGCGUAAUACCCUGAGGUGGACUGAGGUUCGCGCAUUCGCAAGGAUGCUGGCGUAAUGGUCGUCAACGAC
rnacentral:rRNA from 1 species